GACGAACGCUGGCGGCGUGCUUAAUACAUGCAAGUCGUACGGAAAGGCCCUGGUUUUGUUGGGUGUUCUAGUGGCGAACGGACGAGUAACAAGUGAGUAACCUGCUCAUGCCUUUGGGAUAACUACCGGAAACUGGGGCUAAUAACGAAUACGUGCUCCUGCUGCAUGGUGGGGGUUGGAAUGUUUCGGCGGUUGGGGAUGGACUGGCGGCCUAUCAGCUUGUUGGUGGGGUAGUGGCUUACCAAGGCUUUGCCGGGUAGACGGCCUGAGAGGGUGACCGGCCACAGUGGGACAGAGAUACGGCCCAGACUCGUACGGGAGGCAGCAGUGUGGAAUAAUGCACGAUGGGCGGAAGCCGGAUGCAGCAACACCGCGUGCUGGAUGACGAACUUCGUGUUUUAGGCCGCUUUCGCCUGUAACGAAGCGUGAGUGACGGUAAUGGAUAAAGAAGCACCGGCUAACUACGUG
rnacentral:rRNA from 1 species